GGGAGCCUACCUCUAGGAAACACCCUCCUCUCCUACCCGCCACGCGCUCCUAGCUGGCCUGUGGGACACAGCCCUCCCCCCACCUCCCCUUCUCGGCCUUCUCAAGUGUGGGCGCCUCUGGGAGAGCCUCUCCAGGAUCUGUUUUAGAUAGUUUAGUGAACUCUCUCCAGCCUGGACUGCUGACCUGUGACCUCCCAUUAUUCAAACCAAGGCUGACACAUGUGGGCAUCUGGAGCUUUGUUCCCUCACUUCUCAGCCUCACCUCCUAAAAUAAAGAUGCUCCAUUAGGUUCUGACAAUGUGCCGAUGUCAAAACUCCAUUAGCCUGAGUCCCUGAGAAGAAAGGGUGGAAGAGAAGCUUCCCAUGCCUGGCAUAUAAAUAUGGCCUUGAAAAUGUCCACAGACGUGUUGUUGUCUUGUUGAGUCUGCAGCCAGGAAGGCAGAAAUCUCUGCAGCAAAGCAGGUGUGAACGUCCCCCUAUUUCAGAGGCAGCUCUCUUUGAAGCUGGAAAAUCAAGGACGCUGGUACCUUCAAGGAAACAAGGAUAUAAUUAUCACAACCCCCAACUGGCCGGUGACCUUCCAUUCCUCAGGCCACCCUACUCCCUUCACUGGCCCCGGCCCAGGUCCUCACAGACUCAGAGCUCUGUGUCCCAGACCGCUAAGACCGAGGAACAACCCCCUCACGCACCCUUUGAAAGCAUUCUUAAUCUCUCUCUACUGCACUGCUCUUUCAGACAUAAAUCCGCCAGCCCAGGGGGCCUCUGAACCCCCCACGGAGGGAGGCCCAUUCAGGCCCAGUGGAGUCUGAACAGCUUAGGGGUAGAAUUUAUGCUUCCUCUCACCUGUGCCAUCUGUCUGUGGCCCCUACUCUAGUCUGCUUUUGAAGGUUUGAACAUGACCCCCCAGCUUUUUGCCAAGUCUGCCAUCAUCACCUCAGUCACAGAAGCAGACUUCUCAAGGCCAUUGGAAGCUAAUAACAGUGACUCUCAACUUCAUUAUUAUACUUGAAAUGUUGAAAGCAGAAGCCUAAUAAAAUGAGCUCAGAAAAAACAAACCAAACUAUAAAUUAUCAUGUGAAAAGAGUGGCUGAAGAACUCAUCUCCUUGGAAUACCUAAGGACUGUUUCUCAGCUACAGCAACAAUCUGGUAUUUGGUUUCCUUCCCUUCACUGUGCAAAAGCCUUGGCUGUGUUCUCUUAGCAAAGAUUCUUUUCUGUUUCUAUGAGUCGACUGUCCAGAAUCAGGAGUUACACAACACUCCCCACCCAACUCCUUCACACACACACACACACACACACACACACAUACACACACACUCCCUACCCAGCCUUGGUCCACUGAAUUGUAAUAAUUCUUUUUGACCGUAAGGAAUUUAUCCUACAUUAUCACCAAUCAGUACUCAUUGCAAUUAUUUAUUUUAAGAUAAGAGUAAAAGUCCACUUCCUUAACUUCAUAAAGACUAUUUAUGCUAAACUGAUGUAUUUAAUGAAAAAAACACCAGAAGCAUUAUUCCCUGUAAAAUUAGAAGCAACUUAGGGAUGCCCCUAUCACUGUUACUAUUAUACAAUGUUUUGGAAAUUCUAGACCUUUUCAGGGGAUAUUUAGCAAUAUCUGGAACCAUUUUGUCAUCACAACUUUGGAAACUGGAGUGCUAUUGGCAUCUGGUGGGUAGAGGGGAGGAAUGCUGCUAAAUAUUCUGCAAGGCCCAGGAAAGCCCCCACAGCAGAGAAUUCUCCAGCCCAAAGUGUCAAUAGUGCUGAGGGUAAGGGACCUUGCUCUAUACAGUGCAACAAAACGUGAAACAUAAAUAAGAGAAAAAAGUUUAAAAAAUAACUAAUUUUUAUUAUCAUUAAUUGCAAAGAACAUGUAUCACCUAGAAAAGCAAACCAAAAAUACUUAACUAUGCAUUAUUAAAGUUCAUAAAAUAGUAAAUAAUGCAGCUGGCUAAAAAUUUUUUCAAUUCUGUGAGAGACUUAAGAGUCUUUCAUUUUCCUGCAGAUUUAUUUAUCUAUUCUACAAAAAUUUCCUGAGAACAAAAGGGUUGGUUUUAUAAAAGAACACUUAAGAGAUAUAAGAUGACUUUUACACUUUAAAACAUGGAAGAGACUAAAAAAUUUUAAAAACCAAGUCUAUUAACACUGUAAGACAAAAUUAUAGGAAACCCAAGUGGACAUAUCUUCCCAAACUAUAAGCUAGACUGGAGACUUUUUAAAAAAGAUUUGUUUAAAGUAUGAAAACAUUAUUUGGGGG